UUUAUUUGCUUAAACAGAAAACUCUUAGGGCAAUAAAUGGGAGAUUCAUAGGGUAACUGUUUCUUAGAUUUAACUAACGAAAACUAAAAAUCAUUUUUUAAAAAUUUUAUUUUCGGUUCUCAGUUUUUUCAACUAAAAAAUAAAAAGACGGUUUUUAUAUUAUGCUAGGAACUUCAUCCUAAAAAUUCUCAAAUAAACAUGACCCUAAGGUCAUGUACUAUAUAGUCUGUGGUAAUAAACACGUACAGUAAAAUUUCUAUUUUAAGAGUUAUGAUUAAGCUUUGUAGAAGAAGCCUCUUUCCAUUAAGAGUCAAAACUUUCACAUGUUGCAUGUGCAACCCUGAAACUGCUGUCCAAUUAAUGAAAACUAAAGCACUUUAUUAUUUUAUAUCUGUUUCCAUAAUAAAAUAUAUCAAAGUCGGUAAAAAAAUUAAAUACAAAAGCCAGGUAUUCUGAAUUGUCCAUGUGAUUAUAUAACAACAUGAUUUAAAUAAUCAUAAAGUAUUAAAUAUCAUUAUUAUCAAAUAUUAUUUUAGUCUUUAAAAAUCUGGUUACUUACCUUGUUGUUGUGGC
rnacentral:lncRNA from 1 species